rnacentral:ncRNA from 1 species
UUCUUAUCAAGAGAGACGGAGGGAUUGGCCCUAUGAAGUCUCAGCAACCAGCCUAUAGGUAUGGUGCUAAUUCCAACUUGGCAAAAUUCAGCCUUGAGAGAUGAGAA